ACAACGGUUCCUGUUAUAAUUUUUUUCUCUUUUGUAGAUCCUAAACUAUGGCAUCUUCUUCCUCCUCCGAUGCUCCCUCCGUCACAAAUUUUCUUACGAUCAAGCUCGACCUCAACAACUACCCUCUCUGGCGUGCUCAAUUUCUUCCCUUGCUGCGCAGCCGCAACUUACUCUCUUAUGUUACUGGCGAAACUCAAUGCCCAUCUGCCUUUGUUCUUGAUGACAAUGGUAAAUUCACAGACAAAGUCAAUCCAUUAUAUAAUGAAUGGAUCCAGACUGACUAGAUGAUCCUAUCUUGGAUUACGAGUUCUCUUACUCCCAAGCAGAAGUCGCACUUUGAAGAGUUCAUGCUGCACAGAAAGAUUCUUAAAUGCUACCUGUUGAGUCUAUCAUUGCUCCAUUGGAGACAGAGCUGAAGCUUGCUGCAGGAGUUAUACAUUUGUUAUGCAAUAUGACCCCUUUAAUUUUAUUUUAAAACUGAUACAAAAAUUUAUGUAGUAUUUUUGUAUCAGUUUUGAGUGUCUAUUUUGGCUUCCAUAUUUCGUCUGUACAUGUGAGAGGUAUAGCGUU